rnacentral:sRNA from 1 species
GCACAACACAGCAAGGGGCCACUUAGCC